AUUGAACGCUGGCGGCAUGCUUUACACAUGCAAGUCGAACGGUAACAGGUUAAGCUGACGAGUGGCGAACGGGUGAGUAAUGCAUCGGAACGUGCCCGACCGUGGGGGAUAACGCAGCGAAAGCUGCGCUAAUACCGCAUACGAUCUGAGGAUGAAAGCGGGGGACCGUAAGGCCUCGCGCGAUCGGAGCGGCCGAUGUCAGAUUAGGUAGUUGGUGGGGUAAAGGCUCACCAAGCCGACGAUCUGUAGCUGGUCUGAGAGGACGACCAGCCACACUGGGACUGAGACACGGCCCAGACUCCUACGGGAGGCAGCAGUGGGGAAUUUUGGACAAUGGGCGCAAGCCUGAUCCAGCAAUGCCGCGUGCAGGAAGAAGGCCUUCGGGUUGUAAACUGCUUUUGUACGGAGCGAAAAGGCUCUCUCUAAUACAGGGGGUUCAUGACGGUACCGUAAGAAUAAGCACCGGCUAACUACGUGCCAGCCGCCGCGGUAA
rnacentral:rRNA from 1 species